rnacentral:rRNA from 1 species
UUGGGAACGUAUCGGAUUUACUGGGCGUAAGCGUGCGUAGGCGGCUUUUUAAGUCGGAUGUGAAAUCCCUGAGCUUAACUUAGGAAUUGCAUUCGAUACUGGGAAGCUAGAGUAUGGGAGAGGAUGGUAGAAUUCCAGGUGUAGCGGUGAAAUGCGUAGAGAUCUGGAGGAAUACCGAUGGCGAAGGCAGCCAUCUGGCCUAAUACUGACGCUGAGGUACGAAAGCAUGGGGAGCAAACAGGAUUAGAUACCCUGGUAGUCCAUGCCGUAAACGAUGUCUACUAGCCGUUGGGGCCUUUGAGGCUUUAGUGGCGCAGCUAACGCGAUAAGUAGACCGCCUGGGGAGUACGGUCGCAAGACUAAAACUCAAAUGAAUUGACGGCGAUCGGUCAUCGUUUUCAAUUUCUCUCAGCUCUCUCGAAGACGAAACUUUUACUCAUCCUCAAAAUCUGGGUACAA